rnacentral:rRNA from 1 species
CUACACGGGUUUCUAAUCCUGUUCGCUCCCCACGCUUUCGCUCCUCAGCGUCAGUAACGGCCCAGAGACCCGCCUUCGCCACCGGUGUUCCUCCUGAUAUCUGCGCAUUCCACCGCUACACCAGGAGUUCCAGUCUCCCCUACCGCACUCAAGCCAGCCCGUACCCACCGCACGCCCCCAGCUGAGCCAGAGGAUUUCACGGCAGACGCGACCAGCCGCCUACAAGCCCUUUACGCCCAAUAAUUCCGGACAACGCUCGCGCCCUACGUAUUACCGCGGCGGCUGGCAC